rnacentral:lncRNA from 7 species
ACUAAGUGUCGUUCUGGCUAAGGAUGAAUUAUUUGGUGUGUUACAUGAGGAUUUGCUGCUUUAUCUGGCCUGAAUAAGGUGAACCCUGAGGCUGAGGGGAAGGGAGGAGAACAGAGGGCCCAGGAGAAUGGGCGAAGCUGGCAAAGGCUAGACUGAAUGUCUGCAUAGUUAGCAAAGGACGUGGCCUGGAAAGGGAGACCUCGGUGUCAUGGAGGGCCCUUGCCUGAAUGUGAUGCCUAUAGGCCAUAUUUUAAAACAAAACACUAACACAUUCAGCCUUCCUUGCUUUUGCUCCAAAUCACUGCAGCCGUGAGCUCCACCAGUGCAGACCUCCCUCACGAAAGCCACGGUGAUGUCACGUCCAGCAGCACAGGAGGGGAUCAGAGCGUGCUCCUACCCAUUCAGCACAGCCCCGAGAUUACUUUUAACCAAGGUCACUUCUGCAGUUCACUUGACAACAGCCUGGGCAGCGGCACACUACUGGCACAGCCUGCGGACUGCUAUAGGGAUGGGAGGACAAACAGUGACAAUUGUCUCCCGGAUUUACUGCGUCGAAGCUGUGCCGCGGCUGCCUUCUGAUCAGAAGUGGGUAGAUAAAUCUGCUCCGUGUUCUGCAGUGACUGCCUGCUGCCCUGAAGGAAGCGUGUCAUGUCUGCAAGGAAGCGUUUCAACCUGCAGCCGUGGAGUACGAACAGCAUCAAUCACUCCUUUCCAACAAAGGUUGGGUUGUGCUGAGCCCUAAUCUUUUAAAUAAGACCUACUGUAACAUGCACAGAAUGUUUCCCAUGUUGGAUUCUACCUUACAAGCACUGAUUACGCCCACUGAUGCUUCAUGAGACAACCAAGCCAGACUUGUGCCUCGAUUUGAAAAUACUCUGACACAAUAAAAGAAGACUUCUUAAUAUUUCAUUCCUUUGCUGCAAAGCUGGAAAGCACGGAAAAAACACCUGGUUUUGUUGGGUUUGGUUUGUUCUGUUGUAGUGGGUUUUUGGUGUGCAGGCAGCUCUGAGCUUUCCAUGACCCCGUGUUCUUCCUCCAGUGUAAAGGAUGCAGAUGUCAUCAUGCUCCAUAGGAAACCAAGUGAACAAACUUUGUUUUGUUCUUCAAAAUGACUCUGCAAAAGAAAGGUUGGUGGCAAAGGGAAUUGGGUUCUUCACUUCUUGAGCCACUGCUGUCCCCUGGUGCCACAGGGUUUGGCAAUAAGCAAGCAGGAAAACAGGCAGGAGCAAGGAAAGGGGCCUGCCGGGCUCAAGGGAUAGAGUAGGAAUGCAGUUUCUGUUUCACUCGGGCCAUUCGUAUGCCAUUCUCAGUGAUAUUUGAGAAGUCGUGGCCAUCAGGUGAAGUCCCCGGUGAGUGGGAAAAGGGCAACAUCACCCCCAUUUUUAUAAAGGAUAAAAAAGCUGAUCCCAGGAACUACCGACCUGUCGGCCUCACCUCUGUGCUGGGAAGAUGAUGGAGCAGAUCCUCCUGGAAGCUGUGCUAGGGCACAUGGAAGGCAGGGAGGUGAUACAGGAGAGCCGGCAUGGCUGCAGCAAGGGCAGGGAGGCAGCAUCUAUUUUAUCUGAGAAUUUUGGUCUGAGGGCUCACGCUUGGAGCCUGCCCUUAGUUGUUUCCAUUGGCUCGUGGUUUUGUUUCACACAGAUACCUUCUGCAAAGCGACAGUCAGCUUGGCUGAGUCAAAGUGUUGCUCUCACCUCAGGAAUGUCUUUUGUGCUUUAAAAACCUGGCUUCAGCCCGUUGCCAGGAUCACACACCUCUCUGAGCAGGAAGAUCUGUGCAGCAUCUGCUGACAGUGCCUAUGUUGAUUGAAAGCUUUUUCUUCUGAGCACGCUGAGAUUUUUCCUGGAGCAGAUAGAAUUAUUUAACAGUCUCUCUGGCCUCCUUCCCACACCGGGCCCAGCUUUUGAGGCUGUCCUUGGCCUGCUUUCCCCCCCCCUCAGACCCUGUUCCCCAGCCUGAGCUCCCAUGCCCAGUACCAGUUCGGGUUUUGCUGGCAGCUGUGGUUCUAUCAGCUCUUUUUCAUGACCUUCCUGAAGCCUGCUGCCUCCUUGGCAAAGGAUACCGGAGCUUUUCUGCCUGCCAGCUCUCCAAGAUGAUGGCCCAUCACAUAGCUCUCCUCCCUCUAUCCCACAGCAUCCCCAGCCUUACCCAUAACCUAACCCACCUGGCCCCUUGGAGCUCUCAACGUUUCUAUGGCUACCGUGUUUGGCACUUCAAUAUUGAUGUGCUAAUUGAAAAUGAAAGCCAUUAUUGUGGUUUGGUUUAAAAUGGGGGUGGCCCAUAACAACCAGAGGGUGCUAUUCACAUGCAUGCAUAUAGACACAGCAUGAGUAUGCAGAGGUACCUUUCCCUCUAGCAAUAACACUGCACAAGAGAAGCGUCCUGGGGCUGGAGCUGUUAGAGGGAUGCUGGGGGAUGUUAGGUAGGACUGCUCAAAGUUCUGUUGGAAAGACAAGAACAGGUUUUUAUUUCUCAGCUUAAAAACGGAGGAGAAAAUGCCUGGAAGGAAGAUGUGUUUUCCGCCUCGGACGGUAAUUGUUGCAGUCUUCAACGAGGGGGAGGUUUCGCAUUCAUGUGUAUGAGGUCAGAGUGAGCCAACGGUAACACAAGCGGUGCUGCGAGGAUGCACAGCGUUGGAUGCACAGCGUUGCACCAACCCAGCGGGGCUGCUCUGCACAGGAAAGGUUGCAUCCUAAGUGCAAGGCGACAACCAUCCCCACCUCAUUCUGUCUGGCUGGGGGGUGGGUUUGGAGCCUUGGGAGGGGCCUGGGCCCCCGUGCCACCCCUCACCUCGGGCUGUGGGGUGGGUGGGUGAGGGGCUGUCCCCGCCAGCUGCAGCCCUGCUGUACGCGCAGUGUCAGGGCGCAGCGCUCUAUGCGCUACGCUCGGCCGUUGGUGUGCACACACGCGCACCCACACCUGCGUACGCGCGCUGUCCCGGCGGUGCGGCGCACGGUCGGCCCCGGGCAGGACGGGGUUAAUGCCCGCGUUCCCUUCCUCCCGCC